UACGGGGGGGGCAAGCGUUGUCCGGAUUUAUUGGGCGUAAAGAGCGUGUAGGCGGCUUUGCAGGUCCGCUGUGAAAACUCGAGGCUCAACCUCGAGCUGUCGGUGGAAACCGUAAAGCUAGAGUCCGGAAGAGGAGAGUGGAAUUCCCGGUGUAGCGGUGAAAUGCGCAGAUAUCGGGAAGAACACCCGUGGCGAAGGCGGCUCUCUGGGACGGUACUGACGCUGAGACGCGGAAGCGUGGGGAGCGAACAGG
rnacentral:rRNA from 1 species